rnacentral:rRNA from 1 species
UACAGAGGGUGCGAGCGUUAAUCGGAAUUACUGGGCGUAAGGCGUGCGUAGACGGUUAUGUAAGUCGGGUGUGAAAGCCCCGGGCUCAACCUGGGAAUUGCAUUCGAGACUGCAUAGCUAGGGUGCGGAAGAGGGAAGCGGAAUUUCCGGUGUAGCGGUGAAAUGCGUAGAUAUCGGAAGGAACACCAGUGGCGAAAGCGGCUUCCUGGUCCAGCACCGACGUCAGGCACGAAAGCGUGGGGAGCAAACAGG